rnacentral:rRNA from 1 species
CACGUAGGGCGCAAGCGUUGUCCGGAAUUAUUGGGCGUAAAGAGCUCGUAGGCGGUCUGUUGCGUCCGCUGUGAAAACUCGGGGCUUAACCCCGAGCCUGCAGUGGAUACGGGCAGACUAGAGGUAGGUAGGGGAGAAUGGAAUUCCCGGUGUAGCGGUGAAAUACGUAGAGAUUGGGAAGAACACCAGUGGCGAAGGCGGCUAUCUGGACGGUUUCUGACGCUAAGACGCGAAAGCGUGGGGAGCAAACAGG